rnacentral:rRNA from 1 species
UCGAGAAUCUUCGGCAAUGGACGCAAGUCUGACCGAGCGACGCCGCGUGCGGGAUGAAGGCCUUCGGGUUGUAAACCGCUGUCAGAGGGGAUGAAAUUUUGACAUAUCCUCAGAGGAAGGACGGGCUAAGUUCGUGCCAGCAGCCGCGGUAAGACGAACCGUCCAAACGUUAUUCGGAAUUACUGGGCUUAAAGGGUGCGUAGGCGGCCUGUUAAGUUGGGUGUGAAAUCCCUCGGCUCAACCGAGGAACUGCGCCCAAAACUAGCAGGCUUGAGGGAGUCAGAGGGGAGCGGAACUCAGGGUGGAGCGGUGAAAUGCGUUGAUAUCCUGGGGAACACCGGGUGCGAAAGCGGCGCACUGGGGCUCUACUGACGCUGAGGCACGAAAGCUAGGGGAGCAAACGG